UGGGGGGUUCUGGGGGGAUUUUGGGGGCAUUUUUAGGAAUUUUGGGAGGGGCUUUUUUGGUAUUUGGUUGUGGGUUUUUUGGGCUUUGAGGGAUUUUGUUGUUUAGGGGGAAUUUUGGGGAGAAUUAUUGGGGGCUUUUAGGGAGAAUUAUUGGGCUUUGGGGCGGUUGCGGAUUUGGGGGCUUUUGGAUUUCAAGGGAGUUUAUUAGGGUUUUGCAGGUGGUUUAGUUGGGGGGAAUUGAUUGGACGAGGGAUGGGGAACAGGGAGGCUUUUUCAGGGCUGAAUCUUGGUGUUUGGGAGGUUUUUCUGGAGCCAAGGUGGCCAGUGACUUGUAGAGAUGGACUCGAGCAGAGGGACCUUCAAAGUCAAUGUGCUCAUCCCUUGUUUUCCCCAGACAAGGAUCUCCCAUUUCUGACCCUGGGGAGGCUGUGAGGAAGAGGAAGAUGCCCUGGAACACUGAGGCAGUCCAAGGUCGUCCAAUAUCAGGAAAGCGGAGCGGAAGCACAGAGCGACACCGUGUGAGACACAGAUGCCCCAGCAGUGCCUCGCAGGGACGGCCCGAGCCUCAGCCCAGGCUCCUCAGGCAGCCCUCGCCAGACCGCUGGCAGCCCUGGCCGGACCCUGACAGAGCAGCCACCCCAGCGCAGGGAUGGACCUGGCAACCUCCAGUGUGAAAAAUGCCUAUUGAAUGAUUGGCUUUUCGCAAAUAUUAAAAUGAGUAUUAUAUGUGUUGUGUUAGAAAGUAAUGCUGUAUUAAUUCUCUUAAGUAGCGUGUUAAAUAUAGUUUUAGGUUAUAAAAAAUGUUAAAAUAGAAA